GGGGGCGUGGUCCAGAGGCCUAGGACGCCGGCCUUUCAAGCCGGAGGUCGCGGGUUCGAAUCCCGUCGCCCCUA
rnacentral:tRNA from 1 species